rnacentral:rRNA from 1 species
CUACGGGUUGCACCAGUGAGGAAUAUUGCACAAUGGGGGGAACCCUGAUGCAGCAACGCCGCGUGGAGGAUGGCGCAUUUCGGCGUGUAAACUCCUUUUAUAUGUCAAGAAAAUGACGGUAGCAUAUGAAUAAGCACCGGCUAACUCCGUGCCAGCAGCCGCGGUAAUACGGAGGGUGCAAGCGUUACUCGGAAUCACUGGGCGUAAAGGACGCGUAGGCGGGUUGGAAAGUCAGGUGUGAAAUCCUACAGCUUAACUGUAGAACUGCACUUGAAACUUCUAAUCUAGAGUAUGGGAGGGGGAGAUGGAAUUAGUGGUGUAGGGGUAAAAUCCGUAGAUAUCACUAGGAAUACCUAAAGCGAAGGCGAUCUCCUGGAACAUUACUGACGCUAAGGCGUGAAAGCGUGGGGAGCAAACAGGAUUAGAUACCCGUGUAGUC